GACGAACGCUGGCGGCGUGCUUAACACAUGCAAGUCGAACGGAAAGGCCCUGCUUUUGCGGGGUGCUCGAGUGGCGAACGGGGGAGUAAAACGUGAGUAACCUGUCCCUGACUUUGGGAUAACUCCAGGAAAAUGGGGCUAAUACCGGAUAGGAGCUACUGAUGCAUGGUGGGGGUUGGAAAGAUUCGGCGGUGGGGGAUGGACUAGCGGGUUAUCAGCUUGUUGGUGGGGUAGUGGCUUACAAAGGGUUUGACGGGUAGCAGGCCUGGGAGGGUGACCGGCCACAUGGGUACUGAGGGACGGCGCAGACGGCAACGUGAGGCAUCAGUGGGGAAUAUUACACAGUGGGCGGGAGCGUGAUGCGACCGCCCCGCGUGCGGGAAGACGGCUUUCUAGGUAUAAACCGAUGUCGCCUAUAACGAAGCGUGAGUGACGGUAAUGGGUAAAGAAGCACCGGCUAACUACGUG
rnacentral:rRNA from 1 species